AGUGAACGCUGGCGGUAGGCCUAACACAUGCAAGUCGAACGGCAGCACAGUAAGAGCUUGCUCUUACGGGUGGCGAGUGGCGGACGGGUGAGGAAUACAUCGGAAUCUACUUUUUCGUGGGGGUUAACGUAGGGAAACUUACGCUAAUACCGCAUACGACCUACGGGUGAAAGCAGGGGAUCUUCGGACCUUGCGCGAUUGAAUGAGCCGAUGUCGGAUUAGCUAGUUGGCGGGGUAAGGGCCCACCAAGGCGACGAUCCGUAGCUGGUCUGAGAGGAUGAUCAGCCACACUGGAACUGAGACACGGUCCAGACUCCUACGGGAGGCAGCAGUGGGGAAUAUUGGACAAUGGGCGCAAGCCUGAUCCAGCCAUACCGCGUGGGUGAAGAAGGCCUUCGGGUUGUAAAGCCCUUUUGUUGGGAAAGAAAAGCAGCAGGUUAAUACCCCGCUGUUCUGACGGUACCCAAAGAAUAAGCACCGGCUAACUUCGUG
rnacentral:rRNA from 1 species